UCCUAGCCCCGAUUGAAGCUUUGUUUGAGCUCUUUUUUGUUUUUUUCAAACAAAAAAAGCGAGUGCGGAAAGCGGGAAAUUGC
rnacentral:sRNA from 1 species